CCAGACUCCUACGGGGGCAGCAGUGGGGAAUAUUGGACAAUGGGGGCAACCCUGAUCCAGCAAUUCUGUGUGCACGAAGAAGGUUUUCGGAUUGUAAAGUGCUUUCAGCAGGGAAGAAGGAAGUGACGGUACCUGCAGAAGAAGCGACGGCUAAAUACGUGCCAGCAGCCGCGGUAAUACGUAUGUCGCGAGCGUUAUCCGGAAUUAUUGGGCAUAAAGGGCAUCUAGGCGGCCUUACAAGUCAGGGGUGAAAACCUGCGGCUCAACCGCAGGCCUGCCUUUGAAACUGUGAGGCUGGAGUACCGGAGAGGUGGACGGAACUGCACGAGUAGAGGUGAAAUUCGUAGAUAUGUGCAGGAAUGCCGAUGAUGAAGAUAGUUCACUGGACGGUAACUGACGCUGAAGUGCGAAAGCCGGGGGAGCGAACAGGAUUAGAUACCCUGGUAGUCCCGGCUGUAAACGAUGAUUACUGGGUGUGGGCAGGAAGACUGUCUGUGCCGAAGCGAAUGCGAUAAGUAAUCCGCCUGGGGAGUACGGCCACAAGGCUGAAACUCAAAGGAAUUGACGGGGGCCCGCACAAG
rnacentral:rRNA from 1 species